ensembl:lncRNA CARMN cardiac mesoderm enhancer-associated non-coding RNA
GUGGCCAGGGAGCCGCAGGCAAGGGACUAAGGGGAGGGGGGCUCAGUGCCAGCUGCUUAAAAAUGCCCCUGUGGCAGCGAGGGGCACCAGAGGCUGGGUCUAAUUAGUUGAGAAGCAGUGACACCCCCAACCACUCCCCAAACAGGCUGGCUCCCGUCUCCAGGCCCCAAGGAGCCACACCUGGACCAGACCCCAGGAAAGACAUGUGGUGGAAACCCUACGGCCCUGGAGCCCAAGGAGAGCAACGGCUGUAACAAGUGCACAGGCAAGGGCGCUAGCUGGUGGGAGCCACCCCGCCAUGCUGAUGUCAGAGAAGCAAGAACUCUGGAGAAGCAGCCUCCUGGGACCAGAGGAGGGCCAGCAGCAGGCAGCCCGGAGACAGAACUAAUGUGUCUGGGGGUGAGAGGACGGGUGUGACUGCUGAAACUUCCUUUCUUGGUGAUUCCACAUCACUCCUUUCUGAUCCCUGAGCCUGUGCCACGCCCUGUGUGAUGUGCCGGGGACACCAGGCUCACCCACGCCUCUCCAAGCCUCCCAACAGAAGACAGAGGUCCCCCACAGCCAGAGACAUUUCCUGAAGACAUGGGGAACACAGAGGCAGAAACAGCCCAUCCACCCAGGAGCUGUCCCCCACACUGCCGGGAGCCGGCACCCAGAGCCGCCAGGUAAAACUGAGGCCACCUGGUUCAACAUCACCUUUCACAGAAGGGGAAGCAGCCACAGAAAGAAGGGCCUCGUUAAGAAGUGGAACCUGGGACCCCCAAGCGGUGUCUCUCAUCCUGACUGGGGAUCCAGAGUAGGAGGGAGCCUUUGGUGGGACACAAAGGAACAGAACGAGGCACCAACAGCAAGGGGCAAGCAGAUUCAAGGGCCACAGAGGAGAUGGAGGCAAACACCUUCCCCUGGUCAGAGGCUGUGCCUCAGCCCUUCUCCCUGCAUCAGUUUCUCCUUCAGAAGCAUGGGACUACCUCCCAUCUAGUUCUCGUUUCUAAACCUAGGGGAGAUGCUAUCUUUGCUGCAAUAAUCUUAGCCUACAUCUUGGAAUGGAAAUGGCCUUGGUGGAAAUGGUCUUCAACUCCUCUGGUCCAAGCUCAGGCCCUGUGACCCUGGAACAAUCCCCUUCCUGGUCCUCCAUGUAGGAGCAAUAACAUUCCCUUGCCAGCAGCACCAGCCAUUCUGAUGAUUAAAUGGUAUCGGACUCUGUUUUCCAAACUCAGUCAUUCAGAUGCCCCCUAUUUUAUUUCUUCCAUGUCUGCAAAUGAUUAUAAUAUUUUUAAAUGUAGGAUGAGUCCUUUUUAUUACACAUAGAAAUAGCUACUGUAAAUAGCAAACUCUAACACUGUGCCUAAUUAGGAAAUAAAGGUAACCAUAAAUACAGUAAAAAUGAAACAA